rnacentral:rRNA from 1 species
GAUGAACGCUGGCGGCGUGCCUAAUACAUGCAAGUCGAGCGAACAGACGAGGAGCUUGCUCCUCUGACGUUAGCGGCGGACGGGUGAGUAACACGUGGAUAACCUACCUAUAAGACUGGGAUAACUUCGGGAAACCGGAGCUAAUACCGGAUAAUAUAUUGAACCGCAUGGUUCAAUAGUGAAGGACGGUUUUGCUGUCACUUAUAGAUGGAUCCGCGCCGCAUUAGCUAGUUGGUAAGGUAACGGCUUACCAAGGCAACGAUGCGUAGCCGACCUGAGAGGGUGAUCGGCCACACUGGAACUGAGACACGGUCCAGACUCCUACGGGAGGCAGCAGUAGGGAAUCUUCCGCAAUGGGCGAAAGCCUGACGGAGCAACGCCGCGUGAGUGAUGAAGGUCUGCGGAUCGUAAAACUCUGUUAUUAGGGAAGAACAAAUGUGUAAGUAACUAUGCACGUCUUGACGGUACCUAAUCAGAAAGCCACGGCUAACUACGU